CUCCUCUUGCAGGCCAAACUCUUAUCUCUUGUCUCGCUCUUGCUUCUCCUCUCUUCCUCUCCUCCUCUAUUCUCUUUUAUGCAUUCCUUUUCAGAUUCGAAUUAAUGACAGACCCUAAUUUCUCUCUCCCUUGAUGUCAGUAGCAGUCUGGUUUUUUGUGUGUUUUAGUGGGUUUGUUCUUCUAGGUAAUUGGUUGUCUUCUUACUUUUCAGGUUUUAACUUGCUUUUGGGUAGCAUAUGUCUUUGAAUCAUCUGUUCGGAAUGGUGGCUUCGGUUUGUGAUUGGGUUAGUAACAGUGCAUAACUUAAAGAAAAACAAAGAGUUAGGACAUGCCCCAUCUUUCUGCCUCAGUUUUUUUUGCAUCAGUUCAGACUCUGCUUUAAGGUGCGAGCUUUGUGGAAGCCUUUGUAAUUUGAAGCUACAAAAAUUUUAUCUGAUAUUUUACAAUUCUUAUAUCAGUUCAGAAUUAAAACUAUGGGAAGCAAAAAAAAAACGCAAAUGGUGUUCCCUGGAUUGAUUGUUUGUUUCUUCCCACUGGAUUAUAUGUAGUUACCAAAAGUGUCUAAUGACUAUUUUUAAACAUCAAUUAUGUUCGCUUUUGCAUCUUAUCUCUCUUUGGGGGCCAUGUACAUUCAUCAGAGAGAUGAGCUAAUUAGUUUUCUCAUAAAACGAAGAGGAUGGAAAGGGAGAGAGAAGGAGCAAUAUGCAGUGGAAGGGAGGAAGAGGAGACGGUGAAAUACGAUGAAGUUUGAAAUGAAAUAUGAAGAAUAAAACAGUGCUUCAUUUUUAACCAGUUUGUAUUCUUCUGUAAUAAAGAUCUACCUACUGUCUUAUGAUGUGUAAAUGUGUAAUGGCACAACUGAAGAAUAAAUAAAUAAAAUCCCAAUUACGAUA